rnacentral:pre_miRNA from 1 species
AGCCUUUUGUAUCCAUACUGAGACUUCGUCAGUAACCACUCCAUUAGGACUGAUGUGACUCAUCGAAUAAGUAAAGCA